rnacentral:rRNA from 1 species
GAUGAACGCUGGCGGCGUGCCUAAUACAUGCAAGUCGAGCGAACAGACGAGGAGCUUGCUCCUCUGACGUUAGCGGCGGACGGGUGAGUAACACGUGGAUAACCUACCUAUAAGACUGGGAUAACUUCGGGAAACCGGAGCUAAUACCGGAUAAUAUAUUGAACCGCAUGGUUCAAUAGUGAAAGACGGUUUUGCUGUCACUUAUAGAUGGAUCCGCGCCGCAUUAGCUAGUUGGUAAGGUAACGGCUUACCAAGGCAACGAUGCGUAGCCGACCUGAGAGGGUGAUCGGCCACACUGGAACUGAGACACGGACCAGGCUCCUACGGGAGGGAGCAGUAUGGAAUCUGACGCAAUGGGCGAAAGCCUGACGGAGCAAGGCCGCGUGAGUUAUGAAGGUCUUGGGAUCGUAAAACUCGGUUAUGAGGGAAGAACAAAUGUGUAAGGAACCAUGCACGUCUUGACGGUACCUAAUCAGAAAGCCACGGCUAACUACGUG